rnacentral:rRNA from 1 species
UCCGGUUGAUCCUGCCGGACCUGACUGCUAUCGGAUUGGUACUAAGCCAUGCGAGUCAUUGCAGCAAUGCAAGGCGGACGGCUCAGUAACACGUAGUCAACCUACCUUGCGGACGUGGAUAACCUCGGGAAACUGAGAAUAAACCGCGAUAGAUCAUUAUACCUGGAACGGCUUAUGGUCGAAAUAGUUUACUGCCACAAGAUGGGACUGCGGCCUAUCAGCUUGUUGGUGAGGUAAUGGCUCACCAAGGCUAUAACAGGUACGGGCUCUGAGAGGAGAAGCCCGGAGAUGGGUACUGAGACACGGACCCAGGCCCUAUGGGGCGCAGCAGGCGAGAAACCUUAGCAAUGUGCGAAAGCACGACUGGGUCAGUCCGAGUAAUUCCUGCUAAAGGAAUUUUUUACCUGUCCUAAAAGCGCAGGAGAAUAAGGGGUGGGCAAGUCUGGUGUCAGCCGCCGCGGUAAUACCAGCACCUCGAGUGGUCAGGACGUUUAUUGGGCCUAAAGCAUCCGUAGCCGGCUCUGCAAGUCUCCGGUUAAAUCCAUUUGCUUAACAGAUGGGCCGCUGGAGAUACUACAAAGCUAGGGAGUGGGAGAGGCGGACGGUAUUCGUGGGGUAGGGGUAAAAUCCUCUGAUCCUACGAGGACCACCAGUGGCGAAGGCGGUCUGCCAGAACACGUUCGACGGUGAGGGAUGAAAGCUGGGGGAGCAAACCGGAUUAGAUACCCGGGUAGUCCCAGCUGUAAACGAUGCAAACUCGGUGAUGCAUUGGCUUAUGGCCAAUGCAGUGCCGCAGGGAAGCCGUUAAGUUUGCCGCCUGGGAAGUACGGCCGCAAGACUGAAACUUAAAGGAAUUGGCGGGGGAGCACCACAAGGGGUGAAGCCUGCGGUUCAAUUGGACUCAACGCCGGG